CCUACGGGGUGCAGCAGUGGGGAAUAUUGCACAAUGGGGGAAACCCUGAUGCAGCGACGCCGCGUGAGUGAAGAAGUAUCUCGGUAUGUAAAGCUCUAUCAGCAGGGAAGAUAAUGACGGUACCUGACCAAGAAGCCCCGGCUAACUACGUGCCAGCAGCCGCGGUAAUACGUAGGGGGCAAGCGUUAUCCGGAUUUACUGGGUGUAAAGGGAGCGUAGACGGCAGCACAAGUCUGGAGUGAAAUCCCGGGGCUUAACCCCGGAACUGCUUUGGAAACUGUGCGGCUGGAGUGCAGGAGGGGUAAGCGGAAUUCCUAGUGUAGCGGUGAAAUGCGUAGAUAUUAGGAGGAACACCGGUGGCGAAGGCGGCUUACUGGACUGUAACUGACGUUGAGGCUCGAAAGCGUGGGGAGCAAACAGGAUUAGAUACCCCAGUAGUC
rnacentral:rRNA from 1 species